rnacentral:misc_RNA from 1 species
GAUGAAGAACGUAGCGAAAUGCGAUAAGUAAUGUGAAUUGCAGAAUUCAGUGAAUCAUCGAAUCUUUGAACGCACCUUGCACCCUUUGGCAUUCUGAAGGGUAUGCUCGUUUGAGUGUCAUUGUACUCUCACACUCCCGAUCUUUGCAUUGGGAGCAGUGGACUUGGGUUUGCUGCAUCACCGUCGCUUACCUCAAAUAGGUUAGUGCAACUCUUGGUUGGACAUAGUACGGCGUGAUAAGUGUUCUUCGCCGGUGCCUCGCAAAGAGGGUGGCCGAUCGGGAUGUUGUGCUCCAAACCGUCUUCGGACAGUCUCUGACGACUUGACCUCAAAUCGAGUAAGACUACCCGCUGAACUUAAGCAUAUCAAUAAGCGGAGGA